UACGGGGGGGGCAAGCGUUGUUCGGAAUUACUGGGCGUAAAGGGCUCGUAGGCGGCCAACUAAGUCGGAUGUGAAAUCCCCAGGCUCAACCUGGGAACUGCAUCCGAUACUGGAUGGCUUGAAUUCGGGAGAGGGAUGCAGAAUUCCAGGUGUAGCGGUGAAAUGCGUAGAUAUCUGGAGGAAUACCGGUGGCGAAGGCGGUUCUCUGGGCCUGUACUGACGCUGAGGAGCGAAAGCGUGGGGAGCGAACAGG
rnacentral:rRNA from 1 species